GCCGCUUCGUCGACCGGCGGACCAGCGUCCUGAUGCGGCGCUUACGAGAGAACGCGAUGCUCGAAGCUGAGAUCACUCCCGGCGGUGACG
rnacentral:tRNA from 1 species